rnacentral:rRNA from 1 species
AGAGUUUGAUCCUGGCUCAGAUUGAACGCUGGCGGAAUGCUUUACACAUGCAAGUCGAACGGCAGCACGGACUUCGGUCUGGUGGCGAGUGGCGAACGGGUGAGUAACAUAUCGGAACGUAUCCAAUAAUGGGGGAUAACUAAUCGAAAGGUUGGCUAAUACCGCAUACGCCCUGAGGGGGAAAGCUAGGGAUCUUCGGACCUGGCGUUAAUGGAGCGGCCGAUAUCUGAUUAGCUAGUUGGUGAGGUAAAGGCUCACCAAGGCGACGAUCAGUAGCUGGUCUGAGAGGACGACCAGCCACACUGGAACUGAGACACGGUCCAGACUCCUACGGGAGGCAGCAGUGGGGAAUUUUGGACAAUGGGCGCAAGCCUGAUCCAGCCAUUCCGCGUGAGUGAAGAAGGCCUUCGGGUUGUAAAGCUCUUUCGCAAGGGAAGAAAACUUAUCCUCUAACAUAGGAUGAGGUUGACGGUACCUUGAUAAGAAGCACCGGCUAACUACGUGCCAGCAGCCGCGGUAAUACGUAGGGUGCGAGCGUUAAUCGGAAUUACUGGGCGUAAAGCGUGCGCAGGCUGUUUUGUAAGUCAGAUGUGAAAUCCCUG